UACGUAGGGGGCAAGCGUUGUCCGGAAUCAUUGGGCGUAAAGAGCGUGUAGGCGGCUCGAUAAGUCCGCUGUGAAAGUCCAGGGCUCAACCCUGGAAGGCCGGUGGAAACUGUCGGGCUAGAGUCCGGAAGAGGCGAGUGGAAUUCCUGGUGUAGCGGUGAAAUGCGCAGAUAUCAGGAGGAACACCAAUUGCGAAGGCAGCUCGCUGGGACGUUACUGACGCUGAGACGCGAAAGCGUGGGGAGCAAACAGG
rnacentral:rRNA from 1 species